rnacentral:rRNA from 1 species
GACGAACGCUGGCGGCGUGCUUAACACAUGCAAGUCGAGCGGUAAGGCCCUUUCGGGGGUACACGAGCGGCGAACGGGUGAGUAACACGUGGGUGACCUGCCCUCAGCUCUGGGAUAAGCCUGGGAAACCGGGUCUAAUACUGGAUAUGACUCCAUGACGCAUGUUGUGGGGUGGAAAGCCUUGUGCGGCUGAGGAUGGGCCCGCGGCCUAUCAGCUUGUUGGCGGGGUGAUGGCCUACCAAGGCGACGACGGGUAGCCGGCCUGAGAGGGCGACCGGCCACACCGGGACUGAGACACGGCCCAGACUCCCACGGGA